UCUGGGCCAACCGUGGCCUUGAGCUGGAUGGUGAGCUCCGUGGUGAGGAAUCCACAGGGGAAGUGCUCUGCAUGUCUUCUCUUCCAUGUGACACCAAGGCUGCGGUCACCAUGUGAGGCAUGCCGGUAUUUCUAACCCUCUCGUCUGAGGUGUGCAGCUGGGUGUGGAAACAAACAUACGAGGUCUGCCCAUAAACUGAAUGGUACAUCUGAAGAAUGAAUGCUCCAAGCGCCACGGCUGGUCAGGAAGCAGUCGGCUCUAGGACAACCUGCUCCUAGACUGGCUUGUAUUUUUGUACCUUCUUGAGACUGGUGAGUCCUCUGGAGUAAUGUUGCUGGCUUGGGACAGUGCAGUCACCUGCUUACAGAGCGAUGUAUCCCUUUAUGCCCAGGGCAUUCUCUCUGCCCUGCAGUGCCACGUAAGAGGCUGGCUUCCCCUCAGCUUCUGGACGUGACCAACACUCUGUGACUUGCAGGAUGCCGCACCCCAGCCUCUCUUCCCUACAUCAACUACCCAGCAAGCAGUUCCUCUGACACAUACCCUGCUUCCUUUCCAAAUUCUCCUCAAAAGGUUACCAUACCACGUCACCUGCAUCCACCAACAGCAGCAACACUGCUGAUGGCCUGACUUCCACUUUGAGGCUGUCAUCUUAAGCAAGUCACUUGAUCCCUGCCUCAGAAGUUAAUUAACUGAGCACACCCAGGUGACUUGGCAAGAUUUCAGACUCCCAGUCCCCAACAGAACUGACCUCUGGGAGGGGAGAGGGAACCUCGACAUCACUCCAACAGGGCACAUACUCAUCACUGAGCCACCCUGACCGCUGGAAUCUGGAACUUCCACAAACAGCCAGGUGAUCCCCUUGCAAUUCCUGGAUCUACAGAGCCUAAGUCUAGUUACUCCACACUUGCAUCUAUGAUACCAAGUACCAAGAACUUGUACCUCUGACAAUAAAAUGGACAAAAUGAUAAGAAAUAAUGUAAGAAGUCUGGUCCUCAGUUCUUCCUGGAUGAAAUGGUUCUAGUGCAAAGUAACAAUUUAACAAGAACGAACCAGUGACCAAGGGAGGUCACAGCAAGACUCACUACAGCUGUCACGCGAAUACGCUCAAGAAAUCAUCUGGCUGCUGCCGUGCAGGUAGUCAACCAGCAUCCUUAAGCACUUCCAGAAAAACUCGGGCCCUACAGGAUAUGGGAAUAUAUGGGUGAAUCUCGACAAAACCCAAAAGAUUCAAGUUGCUGUGAGCAACAGGUAUCAAGAGGCUUCAAAAACAUCACCAAAUCAGCACCAAAAUCCUGGAAAAUCCACAAAAAAUUGGAAAUCCACAAACUUUUACAGGUUAAUCUGCUCAACUCAUUUUAAAUAAAGGCAAGAGAUAUGUCAAAAAGA